UUGCAUUCAAUCUCUAUUCUCAUUAAUUAAUUCUUCAUAUCUUGUAAAAUUCGUUCAAUAAUAAGAAAUAUUGCCAUUCAAUCUAAAUUAGUGUAUAAGCCAGCAGUGUAUUAUAUUGUAACAUAACAUAGGCCUGCAUGAAUAAAGAGAACUCUAAUCUAAUCUAAUCUAAUCCGUAAUCCCUACGCUGUAUGUUCUCUUUUCAACUGCAAAUGUCUUCUAUUGAAUUCUUCAAUGUUGUUUUCCAUCACGAACUGCUUAUUAUUAAAUCCCUUUUUUCUUUUAGAAAAAAACGACUAGCAGUCAGAUAUUUUUACAAUAAAUGAAUAAAUCACUCACUGGACAACGAGAUCUUUCGGCAGUUCCGCCAUAUUCUUGGUUGUCUUCUAUUGCUAUACUUUUUAGUACGGUAUAUUGUCUGAGUCUCUCCCCCUCCUACAAGCUCCUUCUUUUGUAAUAGUAUGUAGGCCUAACUUUCACCAUUGUCCACGGCCGUGCUCUCUCUCUCGAAACUCACUCCUUCCUUGUCGAAGUAUUUUCGCGCCUUUUUGAGUUGCGUUUGCCUUUUGCUAUAUAGUUAUUGGACUUGAUCUUCUUGUCUAAUGCAGUCGCAAGCUUGCAAGGGUUAGUUUCAGUUCAUCACGUAUUGAAUACAGAGUACAUUUCCUGUUUCCAGUGUUUUAUCCAGGCAUUUAUUUGUUUUGAAGUCACGUGAUCUUCUAUCAUCAAUGAGACGUAUGUCGCGUCAUGCGCCGAUAAAGCUUCGGAAGGGCGCACAAUCAUGAGUAUCAUGGGGAAGCUGGUGACCCUUCCUCACCAUCCAAAGCAAGGACGACCAUAAGAGAGAGAAAAACCUUUCAAGGACCUUCUGAUAACUGAAGUUAUGAUUGCAGCUGCUACAAACCGGUGCUGGCCGAAGGCAGAAUUGAAGCAGGUCUAGUUGAAAGCGGCUACGUGGCUUGCACAAGCCCAAUCCAAGUUGGACAAAAUGAAUCAGCCAUCAACACCAGCUACAAUAACAAUAUUCGACAUCGAUUGUGAAGAUGAACCUCUCGAAUAGAUAAGAAUAUAAUAGUAGUGACAGAAAAGAUCAUAAAACGUGCCUACAUGUUCAAUUUACUGAUAUCAUAAACAAUAAAUUAGUAAUUGAUUAUAAUUACGGUUUUUAAUUGAAUAAUCAAUCCCUGAAACCUCAAUAUUGUUGAAAAUAUUAAUUGAAAUUUACAAAAUUGCAAAAAUGUAGUCUAUUUAUAAUAUAUUUUUUUAAAUUGUGUAAUGAGGGUACAGUUACACUAUGAGCAAGUUUGCUCAUAUAAGCGCUUUCAAGCUGGUAGUGAAAACUUACAGGUAAAAACAGAAUCUGGUAACAUGCAUAGAAACACCUCAUGACAUGCACAGAGAGAAUAGAAAUGAUCCAUGAAUAAUGCAGAGUUAGUACCAUUCUCUCCGAGCACAUCAUAACGUGUUUCAUCCAUUUGAAAAAAAAAUUUCACCUGUAAGUUGGCACUAGGUACUAGCUUGAAAGUGCUUAUUUGAGCAAGCUUGCACAUAGUAUAACUGUACCCUUAUGUUCUCACAAUAUUGUAAAAUAGUGUCAAAAAUUUUUGUACAAAAUUGUGGAAUAAUUUUCUCACAAUACUGUGGAAUAAUUUUCUCACAAUAUUAUGAGAUAAUUUUUCCACAAUGUUUUGUGGAAAUAUUCGGUUCAAUAUCAAUAUUGUGUUAAUAUAUUUCAAUAUUUCAGGAAAAUAUCUUCCCAACAUCAACCAAUAUUUUCAAAUAUCGUAGGAAAAAUAUUGAAGGUUUCAUAAAGAUAUUGUCAGAGUAUUCUGACAACAUUGACCUACAUUUACAACACAUUGAACAAUGUUGUGAUAAUUUUUGUCACAAUAUUGAGACAAUAUUUUUUAAAAAAUGUUGUCUCAAUAUUGUGACAAUAUUUUCCAAUAUUUUUUCAAAAUAUCUUAGCAAUAUUUACCAACAUUGCUAUAAUAUUUUCAAAAAAAUAUAAAAUGUUUCAUAAAGAUAUUGUCAGAGUAUUUUGACAACAUUGACCAACAUUUACAAUAUAUUUAACAAUAUUGGGAAAACAUUCCUUCC